rnacentral:rRNA from 1 species
CAGCAGUGGGGAAUAUUGCACAAUGGGGGAAACCCUGAUGCAGCGACGCCGCGUGAAGGAAGAAGUAUCUCGGUAUGUAAACUUCUAUCAGCAGGGAAGAAUAGUGACGGUACCUGACUAAGAAGCCCCGGCUAACUACGUGCC